rnacentral:rRNA from 1 species
ACUCCUACGGGAGGCAGCAGUGGGGAAUAUUGCACAAUGGGCGCAAGCCUGAUGCAGCCAUGCCGCGUGUAUGAAGAAGGCCUUCGGGUUGUAAAGUACUUUCAGCAGUGAGGAAGGCGGAGUCGUUAAUAGCGGCCUCGUUUGACGUUAGCUGCAGAAGAAGCACCGGCUAACUCCGUGCCAGCAGCCGCGGUAAUACGGAGGGUGCGAGCGUUAAUCGGAAUUACUGGGCGUAAAGCGCAUGCAGGUGGUUUGUUAAGUCAGAUGUGAAAGCCCGGGGCUCAACCUCGGAAUUGCAUUUGAAACUGGCAGACUAGAGUACUGUAGAGGGGGGUAGAAUUUCAGGUGUAGCGGUGAAAUGCGUAGAGAUCUGAAGGAAUACCGGUGGCGAAGGCGGCCCCCUGGACAGAUACUGACACUCAGAUGCGAAAGCGUGGGGAGCAAACA